AGCUAUGUGUAGUGGUUUGGGUGCUGGACUAUGACUCUGGAGUCCAGGGUUCGAUUCCCAGCUAAGCCA
rnacentral:tRNA from 1 species